AACACCCUGCGAUGUUUGUGCAUAAGCCGUUAUUUUGACCCAACACCCUAAAUACGGGAUUCCCCGCUCCGCCUGUGGCCGGCAUGCCUCGCAAGUUUAGUGGAAGUCGAAAGCCGGCGGGAGGAAACCCACCUGCUUAUGUGCAGGUUUCAAAAUCGCGGCUUACACGGCAAAGCGGGGUUUUG
rnacentral:other from 1 species